GAAAAAUGGAAUGGAAGUGAUGAGGAAAUGGAAGAAAGGGUCCUUAUUUAUAUAAAAUAGGGACUGUCAGAUUUGUACCAAGUGGCAAAAUCUAGUGAAGAAAGAGAGAGUUGAGUGAAAGAUGAUCGAUUUAAGGCGAUGCGAUGAUAGUGUGAAAAAUGGAGGAAAAAUUCCUCCAUCGUCGGUGGCAUACAACCUAAGGCAACACGCAAUGCCCAAGGGGGCAGUAACA
rnacentral:lncRNA from 1 species